rnacentral:ribozyme from 1 species
UCGUACUGAUUAAUUUAACGUAACUUCGCUCGAUCAAGCAACUUCAGCCCUAAACGCCCUCGCUCCUUCGGCGCAGCACAAACCAACAGCCGGGCCGCACCCCUCUUCGUCCGUGUGCCACGCCUU